GACGAACCGAGCGAACGCUGUUCGGAAUGACUGGGCUUAAAGGGCGCGUAGGCGGGCUGUCAAGUCUGGGGUGAAAUCCCGCGGCUCAACCGUGGAACUGCCUCAGAUACUGACGGUCUCGAGGGAGGUAGGGGCGAGCGGAACUGUGAGUGGAGCGGUGAAAUGCGUUGAUAUUCACAGGAACUCCGGUGGCGAAGGCGGCUCGCUGGACCUCUUCUGACGCUGAGGCGCGAAAGCCAGGGGAGCAAACGGG
rnacentral:rRNA from 1 species